rnacentral:rRNA from 1 species
AGAGUCUAGUAGAGGGAGGUAGACUUCCAGGUGUAGCGGUGAAAUGCGUAGAGAUCUAGAGGAAUACCGGUGGCGAAGUCGGCUCCCUGGACAAAGACAGACGCUCAGGUGCGAGAGCGUGGUGAGCAAACAGGAUCAGAUAUCCUGGUAGUCCACGCCGUAAACGAUGUCGAUUUGGAGGUGGUGCCCUUGAGGCGUGGCUUCCGGAGCUAACGCGUUAAAUCGACCGCCUGGGGAGUACGUCCGCAAGGUUAAAACUCAAAUGAAUUGACGGGGGCCCGCACAAGCGGUGGAGCAUGUGGUUUAAUUCGAUGCAACGCGAAGAACCUUACCUGGUCUUGACAUCCACAGAACUUAGCAGAGAUGCCUUGGUGCCUUCGGGAACUGUGAGACAGGUGCUGCAUGGCUGUCGUCAGCUCGUGUUGUGAAAUGUUGGGUUAAGUCCCGCAACGAGCGCAACCCUUAUCCUUUGUUGCCAGCGGUCAGGCCGGGAACUCAAAGGAGACUGCCAGUGAUAAACUGGAGGAAGGUGGGGAUGACGUCAAGUCAUCAUGGCCCUUACGACCAGGGCUACACACGUGCUACAAUGGCAUAUACAAAGAGAAGCGACCUCGCGAGAGCAAGCGGACCUCAUAAAGUAUGUCGUAGUCCGGAUUGGAGUCUGCAACUCGACUCCAUGAAGUCGGAAUCGCUAGUAAUCGUAGAUCAGAAUGCUACGGUGAAUACGUUCCCGGGCCUUGUACACACCGCCCGUCACACCAUGGGAGUGGGUUGCAAAAGAAGUAGGUAGCUUAACCUUCGGGAGGGCGC